AAUAAUAAAAUAAAAUUUGAGGAAUUUAAUUAUCCAAAAUUGAAAAGAAAGCAAAGAAAUUAAUGGUCAAUUCAGGCCAAGGACUAUUCUUUUAAAGAUAUCUAAACUUAGAAAUUAAAUUAUUUUUAAUAAAAAAAUAUAGGGAUUGAGCUGUGAUUUUUAUUAAUUUAUAAUUUACCUUUUUUCAUAUUUAUUACUUUUCCUUUUUAAGUGGAAAUAUGUAUUAUAUGCUUCUGGAAAUGUGAUAAAAAUUUCUAGUCAGUUAAUAGUUCUAUGUAUAUUCUUAUUGAAAAUCAAUUAUAUUUAAUUGGUAUAAAAUUAACAUGACCACUGCAAAUGUAUUUUAUUUAAUAUGUUAUUUAUAAUUUUAGACUUAUGUUUAUGAGAUUUUUUAAUGCAAACAAAAAUGUCUUUGUAUUUUUAAAAUAUUUUAUUUUUCCCUAAUCUGACUUGGUCUAAUGGCCAAAAACAUAUCAGCUGAAUGUUAAUUUAAGUUUUUACUCUCAUAAUUU
rnacentral:misc_RNA from 1 species